rnacentral:rRNA from 1 species
AGUAUUAAUAGUAUUGAUUGGUAAAGAUAAUGAUUAGGUGUAAUGGGUGAGUAUUUUCACUCAACAUCUUGUCAAACUAUGAAUAAACAAAGAAGAAUUCUCAGUGUUAAAUACACUUCAGGAAUUUAAAUAUAAACAUACUUUGAAUCGGCCAAGUCUGGUAAGCAGGACUGGCGAUGCGGGAUGAACCGAACGUCGAGAUAAAGUGCCAAAAAGAAACAUAACGAGUACCACAAAAGGUAUUCAUUCAUAUUGACAAUAGGACGGUGGCCAUGGAAGUCGGAAACCGCUAAGGAAUGUGUAACAACUCACCUAUCGAAUGAAUGAGUCCUGAAAAUGGAUGGCAUUAUAAUUUCUUAACUGAUACUCGACCGUUAAAAUGAAGACAUUUUAACGAGUAAGGAAACGAAAUGGCGUAAGGACAACAAAAGUAGUAAAGAUUUAAAGUAAUUUAGAUUGAAACUGUCCUUAGUGCAGAUCUUGGUGGUAGUAGCAAUACUAAGAAGAGGAAAAAAACAUCUUAGAACUGAAGAGGAGAAAGGUUCCUAAACAACAUUACUUGGAUUAGGGUGAAUCGAUCCUAAAUUACAGAUGGAAAUCCUUAAGAAAUAUAUAAGUGACAUAUAGUCAAUAUAAGGAUUGAAAGGGAAUAAGAUUAAUAGUUCUUAAUCAAGAGAAUUAAUGAUUAAAUCUUAGAAAUAAGAUUAAAUCGAAUAAAAUGGUAACAUAUCAUGAACUUUAAAAUGGAGUGUGAAAAUCUACGGAAGAGUUCUCUUUUCUUCUUAACAAAAGUAAACUCCACUGAAAUGAAUCAAUCAGAGAAGUGGAAUUUAUUGGCUUUGUAAGAAAUUCAACAUAUGAUUGAAUUGUGGUAUUUUUGCAGUCUUCAUAAAAAUUAAAGGGAAUCUUAGCAUAAAGCUAAUUAAAGAAUUCUUUUGCUCGUACUAAUAACCGCAACAGGUCUCCAAGAAGCAAAAUCUUUAGUUAAAUAGAAUAACGCAGGUAAGGGAAGUCGGCAACAUAGCUCUGUAAGUUAGCAAGAAAGAGUAGCUCUGGUGAUUUCCUUGUAAAAGGAUUAAAAUCGAAUCAGAACUUUAAAGGUUAGGGGAAUCCGACUGUUUAAUAAAAACAUAGCAUUCUGAUAAAUCUAAAAGGUUCAUUACAGAAUGUGAUUUCUGCCCAGUGCUCUGAAUGUCAAGGUAAUGAAAUUUACUUAAGCGCGGGUUAACGGCGGGAGUAACUAUGACUCUCUUAAGGUAGCCAAAUGCCUCGUCAUCUAAUUAGUGACGCGCAUGAAUGGAUCACCGUGAUUCCCACUGUCCCUAUCUGCAAUCUAGUGAAACCACAGUCAAGGGAACGGGCUUGAUUGGAACGGCGGGGAAAGAAGACCCUGUUGAGCUUGACUCUAAUUUAUCAUGUGAAAUCGAUUUUUUGGUAUAGGCUAGGUGGGAGACUUUGUCAAACGUGUAAUACCACCACUAGAAAUACUAUUUCACUCAUUUCGUUAAAUGUUAAAAUGGAUUUUCCAUUAAUUUAAAAACAUUAAAACUUCGGUUGAAACAGGCGAUUGAAAAAGAUAGACGGGGAGUUUGGCUGGGGCGGCACAUCUGUUACAAGAUAACGCAGGUGUCCAAAGAUGAACUCAAUGAGGACAGAAACCUCAUGUAGAAUAUAAGGGUAUAAGUUCAUUUGAUUAUUGAUUCCAGUACAAUCAAUAACUCUGAAAUGAUGGCCUAACGAUCCCUAAGAUUUUUAACUAGAAAAAAUUUAAAACAUAUUAGAUUUAUCUGAUGUGUGAGACCGUAAGGUGAUUUCUAGUUAAUCCUUUAAUAAUAAGGCUUGGGGUGUCAGAAAAGUUACCACAGGGAUAACUGGCUUGUGGCAGCCAAGCGCUCAUAGCGACGUUGCUUUUUGAUCCUUCGAUGUCGGCUCUC